rnacentral:rRNA from 1 species
UACAGAGGGGGCAAGCGUUAUUCGGCAUUAUUGGGCGUAAAGGGCGCGUAGGCGGUUUUUUAAGUCGGAUGUGAAAGCCCCGGGCUCAACCUGGGAACUGCAUUCGAUACUGUUUGGCUAGAGUAUGAGAGAGGGAGGUAGAAUUCCACGUGUAGCGGUGAAAUGCGUAGAUAUGUGGAGGAAUACCGGUGGCGAAGGCAGCCUGCUGGCUUAAUACUGACGCUGAGGUGCGAAAGCGUGGGGAGCAAACAGG